CGUUGCCAAAACCAAGCUCUCAACCUCUCGCCUUUUCCCAUUCUUUCCCCAUCUUCGUCACUUUUCAGAUUCUCAUUUCAGUUGUAACUUUAGCUAUAACUACAUUCCUCACAUCAAAGACAGAUUUUUCACGAAUCACUUCAACUUCCCCUCUCAAACCUUAUAUAUAUAUGCCGAUGUAGUCAUCCUAAACCAUGUCAAAUCUUAAGCAACAAUGGCUUCCUCUCAAGUAUUUUUCUUAUUUCUUUCCCGGAGCUUCAGAAAGAUCUCGGCAUCACCAAAUUUGAGAGGAAUAUGACGCACCCAUAAGUUUCCUUGGAUUUUAUAUGCUUCAUUAUUUGUUUUUAACUUCUAUUCCUAGAUUUAAAGCCUCAAGAUUUCAAUCGUUGGUAAGUUUUAGUGAAAGUUUUGUCUUACUUUUACUAUAGUUGGUAAUUGUUGUAGAUGAUGAGGAUAUAGAGAAUGCAUGCUCUUUGUAAUGGUAUCUGUUUCGUCCCAGUUAAUUUAAUACAUGACUCGAGCUUAUUAUAAUUUCCUGACUUUUGUUUGUGCUUUGUGAUCUUCCCCAGGUUCAUCGUGGUCAAGAUAAAGACUAGACAUGACUGGAAACAUCUCCAGACGCCAUGACUGGCUCGAGUUCAAGCUUCAAGACACUGCCACAGUUAGCCAAACCACCAAGUUGUUCAGGUUUCUGCUUCUUCUUUCUGUUAUCUCCGACAUAUAUUAACUAAUCUGCAUCCAUAUACUGCCUAUCGGGUAUGCAUUGCUAAACCCUCGUUGGUGUUAGUUCAAGUUAUUCAGAGUUCCUUGAAAUUACCAAGGCUUGCAAACAUAUUCAACCAUCAUGCCAGAGACGAAGCUGGUGAAGACACGGCUACUAAUCAGCCCGCAAUCAGAAAAGUAAUUGGAGGCACAUGAUAAGUACUUGGUCUAUGUAAGUGUCUCGAAAACCAAACCAUCUUUCACAAGUCCUUGAGAGAGGCAUUUAAGAUUUUCAGAAAUAGAGCAGUCGUUGGAAGCGCUUUAAGUGCUGAAUCGCUCGCAACAUUAGGAGCUGAGUGAUCAAGCUAUUAAGAAGGUGAUCGGUUUUUUCUUAUAUAAGUGAUGCUAAGGAUCGUUUUGCAGAGUUUUACAGGAAACUGGCAUGCAGAGGUCUUACUAAACUGCAGUAACUAAUAUGGCUGAGAUCGAGACUUAGCUUAGGUGUGAAGCAAGAGGAUUAUUGCAUCUUACAAUAUAACAACUUAUGUUUUGCGGGUCAAUACACGACGUUUCUUAAGAGGGAUGUAUAUUUCAUGCUAGAAUGUGCAUAAGGGGAAUUUUUAUAAAAGAGAUAACUUAAGUGGUAGAGGGGAAACAAAUGAGCAGAAAAGAAAAGUAAAAAAAAAAAAAUCAUUGCUAUGUAUAACAAAACCAUUUGUUCAGUGAAUCAACUUAAGAAUUUUUUUG